CCGCACGGGUGAGUAACACGUAUCCAACCUGCCGUCUACUCUUAAACAGCCUUCUGAAAGGAAGAUUAAUACAAGAUGGCAUCAUGAGUCCGCAUGUUCACAUGAUUAAAGGUAUUCCGGUAGACGAUGGGGAUGCGUUCCAUUAGAUAGUAGGCGGGGUAACGGCCCACCUAGUCUUCGAUGGAUAGGGGUUCUGAGAGGAAGGUCCCCCACAUUGGAACUGAGACACGGUCCAA
rnacentral:rRNA from 1 species